rnacentral:rRNA from 1 species
GGCCGGCCGCCGGCUUCUUAGAGGGACUAUCGGCUCAAGCCGAUGGAAGUUUGAGGCAAUAACAGGUCUGUGAUGCCCUUAGAUGUCCUGGGCUGCACGCGCGCUACACUGACGGGGCCAGCGAGUUUCCGCCUCGGCCGAAAGGCCUG